ACCAGCAUGGCACAGUGGCUUGAGUGUUGGACUGCAACUCUGGAGACCAGGGUUUGAGUCCCUGCUCAGCCA